GGGCCUGUAGCUCAACGGUAGAGCAGAGUGCUCAUAACGCUUUGGUUGCAGGUUCGAACCCUGCCGGGCCCA
rnacentral:tRNA from 1 species